ACCGAAGUCGCCAACGAUGGCCGCUACAGUACGGGAGGACCAGCACUCAUAUAGAAGUCUAACCAGCCGGAUCCAGACAUUGAAAAUCAUAAGCGGCUGUCGGGCGCCGCGGUAGGGAUCCCAAGCGAAGCAGCGAAGGCAUAGUUCUCCCAGUCUGAGGAUCUCCCGGCGGGUGAGGUGCUCUGCUUGCACCCAUUCAGGGAGGAACGCAAUGAACUCCUGUUG
rnacentral:lncRNA from 1 species